AUGCUCCCCAUGGUCCUGGGGUGCAAAGCCCCAGAUGAAGGCGGCCUGGUGAUGCUGGCCUGCUUGGUGACAGAGUCCAUCCAACUGGUCACCCGCGUCCGGGUCGCCACGGAGAAGCGUGCACUUCAUGCGGUGCUGCUGGCUGUCACGGGAAUGUCCACAGGCCAAGGGCUGUGGUGCCUCUGGAAGCUGAGAGCCAAUCCCCCCACCACCACCAUCCCAGUCUCCUUGGCCUGGUCGAGCUGCCUCCGUGCCCUGUGGCCCAGGGUCACAUCCACUGGGUCUCCCCUCCACCCACCCCUGGGGGUCAUCACUGAGGCACCACCCCCAGGCCUCCUGUCUCCGUACCCCACUGCUGUCCUCAACGGGCUGUCCCAGAUUCUGAGGCUCCACUGUCGCCAGCUCCAGCCCCUGGCAGGUGGGGCCCAGCCAGCAGCCUCCACCACGGCCCCAAAGGUCUUCCCGCUGUCCCCCCGCUGUGGGGCCACAUCCGACUCCACGUUGUCUCUGGCCUGCCUGGUCUCCGGUUACUUCCCCGAGCCGGUGACUGUGUCCUGGAACUCGGGCGCCCUGACCAGCGAUGUGCACACCUUCCCAUCCAUUCUGCAGUCCUCGGGGCUCUACUCUCUGAGCAGCAUGGUGACAGUGCCUUCCAGCAGCGCGUCCAGUCAGACGUACACCUGCAACGUAGACCACCCGGCCAGCAGCACCAAAGUGAACAAGGAUGUGCCCAUUGGAAAUCCUGAACCAUCUUGCAAAUGCCCACCCGUUGACCCCCCGGGAGCACCUUCUGUCUUCCUCUUUCCCCCACAACCCAAAGACGUCCUGAUGAUCACCCUGACGCCAAAGGUCACAUGUGUGGUGUUAGACGUGCCCUCAGAUGACCUCGAAGUAGAGUUCACCUGGUACAUGGAUAACAAACUGCAGAAAACAUUAAAGAAGAAGCCGAAGGUGUUGCAGUUCAACAGCACCUACCAAGUGGAAGAUGAAUACCCCAUCAUGCACCAGGACUGGCUGAAGGGCAAGGAGUUCAAGUGCAAGGUCAAGAGCAACUCUGUCCCAGCCCCCAUCGAGAGGACCAUCCACAAGCCCAAAGGAACACUCAAGGUGCCACAGGUGUACACCCUGGCCCCACACCCGGACGAGCUGUCCAAGAACACCAUUAGUGUGACCUGCCUGGUCAAAGACUUCUACCCGCCAGACAUCAAUGUGGAGUGGAGGCAAAAUGAACAGCCAGAGCCGGAGUCCAAGUACAUCACGACCCCGCCACGGAAGGACAAGGAUGGGUCCUUCUUCGUGUACAGCAAGCUCUCCGUGGACAAAUCCAGGUGGCAACAGGGACAGGUCUUCGCGUGUGCGGUGAUGCACGAGGCUCUGCAUAGUCACUACACCCAGAAGCCCAUCUCCCAGACUUCGGGUAAAUGAGCAGCAUGCCCGGACCCAGCGACCCCCAUCCCAUGUACACACCCCAGGCUCAGCAUUAAAUAAAGCACCCAGCGCUGCCCUGGGACC